rnacentral:lncRNA from 1 species
UAUCAGCAGGUAUUCCUACGCAAAACCCCAGCCCGUCACAGACCACCACCGAGCUAUGGGCGGGGAGGUCCCAGGGAAGCUGUCAAACACAUUACCUGGGUGAGGGGCGUUUCCCAUGAGCAGAUGCAGAGCCGUGAGGAAAGGCAGGUGUAAGUGUGCCACGAAGCCUACACACAUCAUACACUGGUUUCCUUAAAACUCAUGUCUUCUGGCAUUUGCGUUUCCUUAAGGGAAAAAAAAAAAAAAAAGACAAAUGAGGUUUAGAGCUGAUAGUUGAGAACUUGCAGACCUUUGCAAGUUGGCGCAUCCUCUAAGAUGCUGUCUUCAGGCUGUCAUUUUCCCUGAGACAGUUUGGGGCCGGUCUGGUGGUUGCACAGGGCAUCAUUAUCCAGGAAAAUCAGCACUUUUCCUCCCCUGCGUGGAUCUGGGUGCGGCAGACACAGAUGUUUCGUCCCACCUCCGCAGUGCUAAAGCAUCGUUGCAUUUUAUUUCUUGAAGGCAUACAUUCAUUUUAUUUUGGAAAGAGAGAAUUUCUGAAUUUUAAAGCUGAAAAGGGUUUUGAAGAUCAUCCAGCCUGCUCCUAGAGGAAUUUCUGGUCCUGGGUCAUUAAGCACCUUGCCAAGACCUGUGGUAUGUAGUUAAGAUCUCCGAGUAGGAUUGCCUGUGUUUGAAUCCACCCUUGCUGGUUGCUGCUUUGUUCUUGGGACAGGUUACUCACUCUCUCUGAGUCUUAGUUUCCUGAUGGGAAAUAAUAAUAUUCCCUCAAGAUUGCUAAUGAGAGUCAAAUACUUAUUCAGCCCCAAGCACAGUGCUUGGCAAAUUGCGAGUUCUCAAUAAAUGUUAGCUGCUGCUACUGUUGUUGUCAUUGUUGUUAUUGUCAUCUUUUUAUAAAAUCAUGUGGCUAGUUAGUGGAGGAUUUCAUCACAGUCUUACAGUACACAGAGAGCACUGAUGAAAGUUCUUGGGUGGAAAUCUUUUUUUUUUUUUUUUUUUUUGCUUUUUAGGGCUGCACCUGCGACAUAUGGAGGUUCCCAGGCGAGGGGUCCCGUCGGAGCUACAGCUGCCAGCCUACACCACAGCCAUAGCAACAUCAGAUCUGAGCCGUGUCUGUGACCUACACCACAGCUCACGGCAAUGCCAGAUCCUGAACCCACUGAACGAGGCCAGGGAUCGAACCCGCAACCUCAUGGCUCCUAGUCGGCUUCGUUUCUGCUGCGCCAUGAAUGGGAACUCCAUGGUGUGGAAAUCUUUUCAUGAAUGAAUGUUCAUAACAGAGCUGGAAGAAAUGGGCUCAGUCCAUUUAUUAGAUAUAGUUAGACGUUGGGCAUGAGGGCAUAGGUUUACCAAAUAAUUUGUAUCCGCAAAUAUCCCUGACUAGUGUUUAGAGGUUUCCUAAGUGCCAGACUGGUUACCUCUGCUGGGAAGGUUGGGGUGUUUUUCGAUGUUUUUGUUGAGUUUUCCUCAAAUUGGAAACAUCCUUUUCAAUGAGUUGUGGUGGCAAGCAGGCUUUGGGAUGUAAUGGAAAUAUUUCUGUAGGCUGGCUGCUAUUUAUCAAGGGUGAAGACAGUGUGUGUUUUUAAAAACUACAGGCUUGGCGGAAGUCCACAUGUCUUAGGCCAGGCCUGCACAAAUGCCUUCCCAAAUGAUCUGCACUGACCUUUUUUGCAAAUUGCUGACAGCCUAGGAGCCUCCCCAGGGAGCCUGAAACAUUGUUGAGGAGGGUACGAUCCUUGGCCUCGAGGGGUCUUUUGACCCCCUUGAUGAGGUGGGACCCUCUCCCGUAAGGCCACUUCGGUAUAUUUUCUUGGCACAUGAAAACAAAUGGAAAUUAAUUUUGUUUGGCAAAUCCUGCAACACACUCUAAAGAUACUGCCGCUCUCCGGGGCUUACAGAAUUGAGAUCUGUUUUUGAUGCUGCUCCGCGCGGGACUUCUCAAAUUUCCACGCCCGAGGGAGGGAGCGUGUGAAAGUGUGAUACUUGUGAGUGUGCAGUUUGGAGGCCAAGACUAGAGAGCCCAGGCUGAGCUCUGCCACGUGUCGACUGCGUCAUUCUGAGCAGAUCCCUUCAUUUGUUGACGUGUGUUUUUCUCGACGUUCAUCUAUUAUUGUACCCACAACAACAAAUGGCUUUUGGACACAUCUGUUACAUAGAGCUGGUAAGGAUCCCCAAUGCACUGGACAGCUGUAUGGUCUAAUAAUAAUAACCAACAUUUAUGAUAUGCUUAUGGCAUGUCAGGCAUCUUUCUGGGCAUUUUAAGCGUACGCAUGUGUUUACUCAGCUCUGGAUGAGUAUGGUAUCAUUUGCCACGUUCCGUAUGAGGUGACAGAGGUACAGAGGGUUAUGUCAACAUGCCCAAGGUCACAGAGUUAGGUCACUGAGGAGCCGGGAUCCAGCCUCAGAUGACCAGGCUGCCGAGUCUGUAGGUGGUGUUUACACCAGGGCUUUGUAACGCUGUCACGGUGUGCUUCUUACUCUCUGACUGUCCUCUUAUUUGACGGGCCGAGGGAGGGAUAAGCCGAGCCUGGAGGUAGAUUAAGUGUACAGAUCACAGUGUUGGAAAGAAUGAGGAGACGGAGCAUAUGAGAGCUUUUUUUGGAGUUAUAGGGAAACAGCUGUUUCUAAGUUUGGGACAGAGCUGCAGAGAGCCGGCAGGGACAGAGAAGGACAUUUUCUGGGUGGAUUUUUCACUCUCUGCCAUGAGGGGCUGUGCUGUGUGUGGAUUUUCACAGCCACGUGUCUCUUUGCUCUCACGUUUUGUUUGGAAGCCUGUCUUUAUUCCCAACUCAGCCCUCAGCUCCACAGCUUCAGAAACUUAGAAAACUACAGAUACAGAUCUGAAUUUUUUUUUGCUUUUUAGGGCUGCACCCACGGCAUAUGAAAGUUCCCAGGCUAAGGUUGAAUAGGAACUGCAACUGCCUGCCUACACCACAGCCACAGCAACAUGAGAUCCUUAAGCCUCUGAUCGAGGCCAGGGAGCAAACCCACAUCCUCAUGGAUACUAGCUGGGUUACCACUGAGCCACAAAGGGAACUUCAGAUAGCUGAUUCUCGGGACAUGAAAGGAAAGGUGGGAGUUCCCUGGUGGCUCAGUGGGUUAAGGACCUGGCAUUGUCAUUUCUGUGGCUCUGGUUACAGCUGUGGCGCAAGUUGGAUCCCUGGCC